GAUGAACGCUGGCGGCGUGCCUAAUACAUGCAAGUCGAGCGAACAGAUGAGGAGCUUGCUCCUCUGACGUUAGCGGCGGACGGGUGAGUAACACGUGGAUAACCUACCUAUAAGACUGGGAUAACUUCGGGAAACCGGAGCUAAUACCGGAUAAUAUAUUGAACCGCAUGGUUCAAUAGUGAAAGACGGUUUUGCUGUCACUUAUAGAUGGAUCCGCGCCGCAUUAGCUAGUUGGUAAGGUAACGGCUUACCAAGGCAACGAUGCGUAGCCGACCUGAGAGGGUGAUCGGCCACACUGGAACGGAGACACGGUCCAGACUCCUAAGGGAGGCAGCAGUAGGGAAUCUUCCGCAAUGGGCGAAAGCCUGACGGAGCAACGCCGCGUGAGUGAUGAAGGUCUUCGGAUCGUAAAGCUCUGUUAUUAGGGAAGAACAAAUGUGUAAGUAACUAUGCACGUCUUGACGGUACCUAAUCAGAAAGCCACGGCUAACUACGUG
rnacentral:rRNA from 1 species